AGGGAUUCCAGGGCAUUGCUGGAGAGCCAGGUCCAGAUGGUCGUUCAGGCCCUCUGGGCCCACCUGGACGGACAGGACCAACAGGUAUCCCUGGGCCACUGGGAGAGAGGGGCUUCACUGGGAAGGAAGGUGUGGAGGGACCCCAGGGGCCAGUAGGCAUGUAUGGUUUCCGGGGUAGCAUGGGAAUGCGUGGCACAAAUGGUCACACCGGACAUAGGG